GCGGAGGGCGGCCAUCUUGGGACGUUCCACUUGCUGAAGGGGGCAGAGUGAGGAAGCGGCGCCUGGCCACGAACGGCUGAUCUCAACUUUCAAGAUCUUUUAUUCCAGCCAGGAGCACCCAGAGCCACAAGGUAAACAAACAUUGAUAGCCACUCUAGCCCAACUCGGAGAACUCGUUAGCCUGGGAGGUUUGCCCCUCUAUCUCUCCGUGAGUUAACGAGUUCAAUGCUUGGCCCGCUUCCGUUUGGGGGUGGGGGCAAGCCCUUUCCCGGGUUCCCUUAGACAGUCCUGCCUUUGGGCAGUCUUUUGUGCCUCCAGUCCCCUAAUCCGCCCUCAUUCUUUUUCC
ensembl:processed_transcript